UGCCGAAAACCCAGGAUCGAACCAGGGACCUUUAGAUAUGCAGUCUAACGCUCUCCUAAAUGAGCUAUUUCGGC
rnacentral:tRNA from 1 species